rnacentral:tRNA from 1 species
GCCGCGAUCGCAUAACCUGGUAUUGCGCCAGCCUUGAGAGCUGGUCCCUUUGGGAUUCCCGGUUCGAAUCCGGGCCGCGGCG